GGGGUACGAGAGGGCCGCUACCACGCGAGUGGAUGCCAAUCCCUAAAACCCCUCUCAGUUCGGACUGGAGUCUGCAACCCGACUCCACGAAGCUGGAUUCGCUAGUAAUCGCGCAUCAGCCACGGCGCGGUGAAUACGUUCCCGGGCCUUGUACACACCGCCCGUCAAGCCAUGGGAGCCGGGGGUACCUGAAGUGCGUAACCGCGAGGAUCGCCCUAGGGUAAAACUGGUGACUGGGGCUAAGUCGUAACAAGGUAUC
rnacentral:rRNA from 1 species